GGGGAAUAUUGGACAAUGGGCGAAAGCCUGAUCCAGCCAUGCCGCGUGUGUGAAGAAGGUCUUCGGAUUGUAAAGCACUUUAAGUUGGGAGGAAGGGCUGCAAGUUAAUACCUUGUAGUUUUGACGUUACCAACAGAAUAAGCACCGGCUAACUUCGUGCCAGCAGCCGCGGUAAUACGAAGGGUGCAAGCGUUACUCGGAAUUACUGGGCGUAAAGCGUGCGUAGGUGGUCGUUUAAGUCCGUUGUGAAAGCCCUGGGCUCAACCUGGGAACUGCAGUGGAUACUGGGCGACUAGAGUGUGGUAGAGGGUGGUGGAAUUUCCUGUGUAGCGGUGAAAUGCGUAGAUAUAGGAAGGAACACCAGUGGCGAAGGCGACCACCUGGGCUAAUACUGACACUGAGGUGCGAAAGCGUGGGGAGCAAACA
rnacentral:rRNA from 1 species